AUAAAAUCAGUUGAAUCACUGGGGACGGAAACGAUUCGUUUCCUCUAUGUAUUAAUCGGAUUUUUGAACUUGAAGUAUGGUGCUGGAGCUUGCUCCACCCUGCUCACGGGUUGUCCUGGUAUUGCAGUACCUCCAGGUUCGGCUCACGUUUC
rnacentral:snRNA from 1 species